rnacentral:tRNA from 3 species
GGCCGGUUGGUGUAGUUGGUUAUCACGUAUCGUUAACACCGAUAAGGUCGCCGGAUCGAACCCGGCACUGGUCA